rnacentral:misc_RNA from 1 species
GAUGAAGAACGUAGCGAAAUGCGAUAAGUAAUGUGAAUUGCAGAAUUCAGUGAAUCAUCGAAUCUUUGAACGCACAUUGCGCCCGCCAGUAUUCUGGCGGGCAUGCCUGUUCGAGCGUCAUUUCAACCAUCAAGCCCCCGGCUUGUGUUGGGGACCUGCGGCUGUCGCAGGCCCUGAAAACCAGUGGCGGGCUCGCUAGUCACUCCGAGCGUAGUAAUACAUCUCGCUCAGGGCGUGCUGCGGGUUCCGGCCGUUAAAAAGCCUUAUUUACCCAAGGUUGACCUCGGAUCAGGUAGGAAGACCCGCUGAACUUAAGCAUAUCAAUAAGCGGAGGA